GUCGGGAUGGCGGAAUUGGCAGACGCGCACGGUUGAGGGCCGUGUGGUAAAAACCAUGGGGGUUCAAGUCCCCCUCCCGACACCA
rnacentral:tRNA from 1 species